GAUAGGUUGGCAGAUUAGUGCCCUUGGUUUAGGACCUAGACAUAGAAAUAUCAUUCUACCUAUCA
rnacentral:tRNA from 1 species